rnacentral:lncRNA from 1 species
AAAAAUCGGUCCAUUCCAGGUUAUCGACUGUGUCCAUUCGAAUCUAAAACACAGUCAACAGACUACGCAUGGACUGGGCCAGUGCUCAAAUCAGAUGGCAUCAGCAGCUGCAAACUCAGAUCUAUCCUUGCCCUUCCUGAGGCCUGGCUUUGAUUACUGGGCCCCCCACCACGAGCCAACACAUGGCCAUGAGCACAUACCAACUCAGUGCACAACCUCUGAGCAACCACUUGGAAACAAUCAAGAGCUUCAGCUCUGCAAGCUGAUUGGUGGAUGCAAGGACCAGAUGAUAGACCUCGGAACCCUAUUGUAACUAUGGCAACAGACCCCACAGGAAUGAGUGAUUUGCUCCUAAUUGCAAAGUAAACAUUAGAAAUGGAACUGGAUAUUAUCGCAAAGUGUGACGAACCUUGGGGUGGCGAUUACAGAAAUGCAAUAAGCUUUGAAAGGAAAACAAAGCUGAGUGCUGUCCGAUAUGCUGCCCAUUCUGAG